rnacentral:lncRNA from 1 species
CUUUGCCGCCGCGGCAGGGGCGGGGCUUGAACCCUCAGUGGAGGACCAAGCUCAACCCCUGCCCGGGCAAGGAGGUCACGUGGCCUCACCCGGAAGCGCGUCCGUGGUGGAGCUGCAGCCAGGCGUUGUGGGCCGAGAUCUGUGCUGCGCGCGCCUGAAGGCUUUGAGCAAGGCCCACGGUGAAGGGUGACCCUCGCUCUGCUGAGACUCACACCAGCGCUUACGUCCAGGACCAAGGAUGCUCUGCUGCAGUUUCAUGAGCUGGUCACUGAGUUUGGCUGCUACAGCCCCUUCUGAACCUCUGGUUGCCUGAAGCUCUGAUGUGCUACUUGCCAAGGUAGAUGCUCUUUUCUUCUUGGGGCAGAGAGGGAGACAGGCAGCACCAUGCUGCAACCUUGGAAACUGAAUGAGGCAGGCUGAACUCUCCUGGACUCUGCACUCCUCUUUGCCCCAACCCUGCUCCAGCUUUGCAUCCUGAUGUCACCUCUGCCUAGCAUCCCUGUCAUCCCCUGCACCUAGGUGACCAUCAAGGCCUGCUGAGUCUCUUUAUGCCUCUUAAAUAAUUUUUUUCCUCUCCAUCAAGGAAUGGGCCCACACCAAGCUAGCUGGCCUUCAUGACAUUAGUAUGGCCCAUCCAUCGCCAGCCCCUUCCUGUCAGCCACAGCCUCUAUGUCCCAUAGCCAACUUCUGGUAAGGCUGGCCCCACAAACCUCAACUUCAUCACACCCACCUCUGAGUCCUAGAGCAUCCUCUUCCAGGUCUCCUGCCCUCUCCAGCAACUUCUCACUCCGUUGCUCUUCUAGUCUCUUCCAUAGUGUUUAGCAAUCCCAUGGGAAUAGGCUGAACUAUUAAGUGUGCUGUUCUGUCUUCCUACAUUGGCCUGUAAAAGCUUGGGUGGGGGGUGAGCUAGAAGGUUGAGAAGAAUGCAGUGAGAACUAGAGCUAGGCUCAAAGGGGAUCCUGCAGAGUACGAUUGAG